GAUGAACGCUGGCGGCGUGUCUAAGGCAUGCAAGUCGAACGGACUGUUAUUUGUAGCAAUACUUAGAACAGUUAGUGGCAAACGGGUGCGUAACACAUUGGUAACCUGCCUCAAAGUCGGGCAUAAUCCCGCGAAAGUGGGACUAAUUCCACGAUGGUCAUCGAAGGUGAGAUUCCUUCGAUGUAAAGUCGCAAGACGCUUUGAGAGGGGCCUAUGGCCUAUCAGCUUGUUGGUGAGGUAACGGCUCACCAAGGCUAUGACGGGUAGGGGGUGUGAGAGCACGACCCCCCCUCACUGGGACUGAGACACUGCCCAGACACCUACGGGUGGCUGCAGUCGGA
rnacentral:rRNA from 1 species